rnacentral:rRNA from 1 species
GACGUAGGGCGCGAGCGUUGUCCGGAUUUAUUGGGCGUAAAGAGCUCGUAGGCGGUCUGUCGCGUCGGUCGUGAAAACUUGGGGCUUAACCCUGAGCUUGCGGUCGAUACGGGCAUGACUGGAGUUCGGUAGGGGAGACUGGAAUUCCUGGUGUAGCGGUGAAAUGCGCAGAUAUCAGGAGGAACACCGGUGGCGAAGGCGGGUCUCUGGGCCGAUACUGACGCUGAGGAGCGAAAGCGUGGGGAGCGAACAGG